ACCGACAACCCUGAUAUAUUUAGAAGUAUUAAAAAUAACAAAUUGACAACAUUUUCGUCUCACAAAGUGACGGUAACGAAACGGCAAGAGCCGUCAAAGCAUUGUUAAGCCAAAUAGGAAUCUUUCUGCUCGAUUUCUGGGGGGACUUGUAAAGACAAAGAAAGCCAAGAUGUUGCACAUCUUAGAGGAAGCAGCCAACAAUCCAACUGUAGAUAUCGCAAACAUUGGUGAUAAUAUUGCACUAUGGUUGAUGCAAUGGCAGUAUUGCAAGCUGCAUAACGAAAAUAGAGAACAUUUGGUGAAUUUGCAGAUCAAAUAUUUGAUUAUUUGGUAAAGCUUGCAGAGCAAUGCAAGGCUACUAGACUAGACUUUGUUUUUGACAGAUAUCCAGCAAUAAGUAUCAAGAAUUAAAAAAUGUUGUAAAAGAAAUAGUGGAAACAAA